UACGGGGGGGGCAAGCGUUGUUCGGAAUUACUGGGCGUAAAGGGCUCGUAGGCGGCCAACUAAGUCAGACGUGAAAUCCCUCGGCUUAACCGGGGAGCUGCAUCUGAUACUGGAUGGCUUGAGAUUGGGAGAGGGAUGCGGAAUUCCAGGUGUAGCGGUGAAAUGCGUAGAUAUCUGGAGGAACACCGGUGGCGAAGGCGGCAUCCUGGACCAACACUGACGCUGAGGAGCGAAAGCCAGGGGAGCAAACGGG
rnacentral:rRNA from 1 species